GCCUGACUGGUUUAGUCAGUGGAGCGUGCGAUUCUUGAUCUCAGGUCAUGAGUUCAAGCCCCAUGUUGGGCG
rnacentral:tRNA from 1 species